AGAACGAUUCGAUAGCUGUCUUGCACACACAUCAUGGUAAAAUAUUCAUCAGUACAAAGAAUAUGCUGGUGAGCUAAGACCACACUAAAGGACAAAAAGACCCUCUGAAGCUUUAUAGGGAUAAAAUCUAGUACACAUCCAGGCGUUUGUAUACAAGGUGAUGGCCCCAAGAAGCGAGACGAUGACGAUAAAGAGCCAGAAGAUGCAGCGUGGUAAACACAAGACUGUUUAAUUGGGGCGAUAAGCUUAUCUAAUCCACCUAAGGUGAACAAAGCCAUCCAAUGAGCCCAACUAAUAAGUGCAAAGAUACAUGUUUCGCUUAAUGGCCCAAGAAGUCCUUCCCAGUAUUUAAAUGCUAUCUUAAUGAGCUUAAAAUUAAUCUACCAACACCAAGCUACUCUACGGAUAACAGGCUUAAUUUCGGCAAUACGAAAGCUCACAUUAUCAAGAAAA
rnacentral:rRNA from 1 species